GAGACAGCAGUAGCCGCGGGAAUACGAAGGGUGCAAGCGUUACUCGGAAUUACUGGGCGUAAAGCGUGCGUAGGUGGUGGUUUAAGUCCGUUGUGAAAGCCCUGGGCUCAACCUGGGAAUUGCAGUGGAUACUGGGUCACUAGAGUGUGGUAGAGGAUAGUGGAAUUUCCGGUGUAGCAGUGAAAUGCGUAGAGAUCGGAAGGAACAUCUGUGGCGAAGGCGACUAUCUGGGCCAACACUGACACUAAGGCACGAAAGCGUGGGGAGCAAACAGGAUUAGAUACCCCAGUAGUCCCUGUCUCUUAUAC
rnacentral:rRNA from 1 species